UUCGCAGCUCAUUACACUCCGCUUUGAGGAUCAUAGACAAGUUGGAUGUGUGAGAAAUAGUUAGGUCUACACACACAUCCAAUCUAGUUUCUGCCAUAUUGCUUUCACCUAUUCAGCCUAAUCAUUUCCGUGAAAGGGAGUGAGCGAGGAGGCAAGGGAGGAAGCAUCGUUUUGGAAUGAAAUAUAGCCAGUGUGCAGCGAAAAUCUCCCAAACUUCUGCGCACGUAAACAUCGCAAACAUUUAUUCAAUGUACAAUAGAAUGCUGGCGAAAGAUGGAAGUUCCGUUAUUUUGAAGUCUUUCUUGACGACGAGGUGCUGAUGGCAUAGUGGUGUGAGUAAUGGCAUGGCCCAGAGUCCCAUGCCUCCUGCUGAUCCUGCUGCUCCUACUACACACCUGCUUACCUCAACCAGUUUGCAGACAACACAACAGUGGUAGGCCGGAUUACCAACAACGACGAGAC